CCCUUAGAUGUUCUGGGCCGCACGCGUGCUACACUGAGUGGAUCAGCGGGUCAGGUUGCGCGAAAGUGUUUCCUAAUCUUGAAAUCCGCUCGUGAUGGGGAUUGACGGUUGCAAUUUUCCGUCAUGAACGAGGAAUACCUUGUAGCGCGGGUCAUCAUCCCGCGCUGAAUACGUCCCUGCCCUUUGUACACACCGCCCGUCGCUCCUACCGAUUGAGUGGUCCGGUGAGGCUUUGGGAUCUGAGCGGAAAGAGCGUUUCGCUGUUUCUGCUCGGAAAACUCAGUCGAACCUUAUCAUUUAGAGGAAGGAGAAGUCGUAACA
rnacentral:rRNA from 1 species